rnacentral:rRNA from 1 species
AGCAGCCGCGGUAAUUCCAGCUCCAAUAGCGUAUAUUAAAGUUGUUGCAGUUAAAAAGCUCGUAGUUGAAUUUCGAGAUCGGUUUAUUGGUCGUGCUAUUGUACGUACUGGUAUUACCGGUUUCUCCUUUCUGACGAACCUUAAUGCCAUUAAUUUGGUGUUUUGGGAAAUCAGGACUGUUACUUUGAAAAAAUUAGAGUGUUUAAAGCAGGCUCACGCUUGAAUACAUUAGCAUGGAAUAACGGAAUAGGACGUUUGAUUCUAUUUUGUUGGUUUCUAGGAUCGACGUAAUGAUUAAUAGGGAUAGUUGGGGGCAUUAGUAUUCAAUUGUCAGAGGUGAAAUUCUUGGAUUUAUUGAAGACUAACUACUGCGAAAGCAUUUGCCAAGGAUGUUUUCAUUAAUCAAGAACGAAAGUUAGGGGAUCGAAGACGAUCAGAUACCGUCGUAGUCUUAACCAUAAACUAUGCCGACUAGGGAUCGGAUGAUGUAAUUUUUAAUGACUCAUUCGGCGCCUUACGG